AAAAGUCUUCAGGGCAGGGUGCAAUUCCCGACCGGCGGUGACUGUAUUUUUUUCUUUGUUUCAGCUAAGCAUAUGCUGUAGCUAAGACCAUGACCCAAGUGGAAAUGGCGCUGAUAUGCUGAUAUAUAGAAGGAUCUAUAGAAGUCCGCGAGCGUAAGCUGAUGUAGUGCAAUUCUACAACCGACAGUAAAGUCUGGAUGGGAGAAGACGAAG
rnacentral:ncRNA from 2 species